rnacentral:tRNA from 1 species
CCCUGCGUGGCUCAAACAGUUGAGUGCUAGGUUACUAACCGAAAGGUUGGUGGUUCAAGUCCACCCAGAGGUA